rnacentral:rRNA from 1 species
GGAGUGCAAUGGCAUAAGCUUGCUUGACUGUGAGACCAACAAGUCGACCAGGGUCGAAAGACGGACAUAGUGAUCCGGUGGUUCUGUAUGGAAGGGCCAUCGCUCAAAGGAUAAAAGGUACGCUGGGGAUAACAGGCUGAUCUCCCCCAAGAGCUCAUAUCGACGGGGAGGUUUGGCACCUCGAUGUCGGCUCGUCACAUCCUGGGGCUGGAGAAGGUCCCAAGGGUUGGGCUGUUCGCCCAUUAAAGUGGCACGCGAGCUGGGUUCAGAACGUCGCGAGACAGUUCGGUCCCUAUCUGUUGUGGGCGUUGGAAGUUUGCGUGGAUCUGACCUUAGUACGAGAGGACCGGGUUGGACAGACCGCUGGUGUACCUGUUAUGCCGCCAGGUGUAUCGCAGGGUAGCUACGUCUGGAAUAGAUAAGCGCUGAAAGCAUCUAAGUGCGAAACUAGCCACAAGAUGAGACUUCCUCAUAAGGGUCGUUGUAGACUACGACGUUGAUAGGUUACAGGUCUAAAGGUAGAGAUAUCAAAGCCGAGUAAUACUAAUCGCCCGAAGCUUUCCAUAG